ACUCAAAUGAAUUGACGGGGGCUCAUACAAGCGGUGGAGCAUGUGGUUUAAUUCGAUACUACGCGCAAAAUCUUACCGAUUCUUGACAUAUUGAGAUGUUUUUUAUUGCGUAAAUAAGAAAUCAAUAGUCAUUGACUAUAUCUCUUUACAGGUGUUGCAUGGCUGUCGUCAGCUCGUGUCGUGAGAUGUUUGGUUAAUUCCCUAAAACGAGCGAAACCCUCAUAUUAUAGUCGUUAUUACAAUUUAUUAUUGUUUUAAUCUAUAAUUCACUGCUCAAGAUAAUUGAGAGUACGGUGAGGAUGACGUCAAGUCUUCAUGACCCUUAUGAAUCGGGCCACACAUGUGCUACAAUGGUAAUGACAAAAAGAAGCAAUAACGCAAGUUGGAGCAAAUCUACAAACAUUGCCUUAGUUCGGAUUGCUUUCUGAAACUCGAAAGCAUGAAGCAGGAAUCGCUAGUAAUCGCAAAUCAGCACGUUGCGGUGAAUCAGUUCUUGGGCCUUGUACACACCGCCCGU
rnacentral:rRNA from 1 species